CAAUUCGUUUAGUAACUUAUAUUUUUAAACGAACAUCUUUAAAUCGGCACUUUAAAUAUUGUCUCUUGGCAAUCAUAAAAUGAUUGCCAUUUAGAUGCUCUAAGCAAGUUUAAUAAGUAAUACUUCACUUUUAUAAGAAUUACGUAUAUGAACAGGAAGAUUAAGAGGUGCUGGUCCUUUUCGUACACGACCGGCUCCAUCAUAAUGAGAUCCAUGACAAGGACAAAAGAAACCUCCUGGAAUCAUACCAGAAUUAGGAAUAGGAUCUCUCAAAAUUGAUACAUCAACUUCUCUUUCUUGAUCAAUAACAUUUUGUGGUCUAAUAGCAAUAAAAAGCUACAUUUUAUAUUUCCUUUUAUAUACUUUUAAAUUUACAUAAUAAUAAUAUAUAUUAUAUAUAAUAUAAUAUAUAAUAUAAUAAUAAAUUACCUAUGAUAAAGAAAAAC